UUUUUUUUUCCAGGACUCUCAUUCCUUUGGUCCCACACCGGAAUUGUUUCCAUGCUUGCAGGUGUUAUAGGAGGAAGGAUGAUUUGGAGAAGGAAGAGGAAGAAACAUUGGAACUGGAUUGACUCUGCCCACUGGAUGUUCUUCAGUUGAAAAGAAGGAAGAUGUGAUCUCUUCUGUCAGAGAAAUAACAUUCCUGGAAAAACAGGCCAAGGGAAGCACUUCUGUCCCUGUUUCUUGUGGCUGGAAGAGGUUUGCUGGAGCUGGGAAGAGAGUUGGGAGCCAUCCAGCUGGUACCAUGUCAGUGCAGCAGCACAAGGUCCCUUCCCUGCCUAUUGGCAAGGCUGGAGA